CCUACGGGUGGCAGCAGUGGGGAAUAUUGCACAAUGGGGGAAACCCUGAUGCAGCAACGCCGCGUGAGUGAUGACGGCCUUCGGGUUGUAAAGCACUGUCUUCAGGGACGAUAAUGAUGGUACCUGAGGAGGAAGCCACGGCUAACUCCGGGCCAGCAGCCGCGGUAAUACGUAGGUGGCGUGCGUUGGCCGGAUUUACUGGGCGUAAAGGGAGCGUAGGCGGAUUUUUAAGUCAGAUGUGAAAUACUCGGGCUCAACCUGAGGUCUGCAUUUCAUACUGGAAGGCUAGAGUGCAGGAGAGGAGAAUAGAAUUCCUAGUGUAGCGGUGAAAUGCGUAGAGAUUAGGAAGAAUACCAGUGGCGAAGGCGAUUCUCUGGAC
rnacentral:rRNA from 1 species